rnacentral:rRNA from 1 species
UACGUAGGAGACGAGCGUUGUCCGGAAUUACUGGGCGUAAAGCGCGUGUAGGCGGGCGUGCAAGUCUGCUGUGAAAGCUCCUGGCUUAACCGGGAGUGGUCGGUGGAAACUGCACACCUGGAGGACGGUAGAGGUAGGUAGAAUUCCCGGUGUAGUGGUGAAAUGCGUAGAGAUCGGGAGGAAUACCUGUGGCGAAGGCGGCCUACUGGGCCGGACCUGACGCUGAGACGCGAAGGCGUGGGGGGCGAACGGG